AGUGAACGCUGGCGGUAGGCCUAACACAUGCAAGUCGAACGGCAGCACAGGAGAGCUUGCUCUCUGGGUGGCGGGUGGCGGACGGGUGAGGAAUACAUCGGAAUCUACUCUGUCGUGGGGGAUAACGUAGGGAAACUUACGCUAAUACCGCAUACGACCUACGGGUGAAAGCAGGGGACCUUCGGGCCUUGCGCGAUGGAAUGAGCCGAUGUCGGAUUAGCUAGUUGGCGGGGUAAAGGCCCACCAAGGCGACGAUCCGUAGCUGGUCUGAGAGGAUGAUCAGCCACACUGGAACAGGGACACGGUCCGGACUCCACCGGGAGGCAGCAGUGGGGGAGUAUUGGACAAAGGGCGCAAGCCUGAUCCAGCCAUACCGCGUGGGUGAAGAAGGCCUUCGGGUUGUAAAGCCCUUUUGUUGGGAAAGAAAUCCAGCUGGCUAAUACCCGGUUGGGAUGACGGUACCCAAAGAAUAAGCACCGGCUAACUUCGUGCCAGCCGCCGUAAUAC
rnacentral:rRNA from 1 species